AUUGAACGCUGGCGGCAUGCCUUACACAUGCAAGUCGAACGGUAACAGGUUAAGCUGACGAGUGGCGAACGGGUGAGUAAUACAUCGGAACGUGCCCAGACGUGGGGGAUAGCUCGGCGAAAGCCGGAUUAAUACCGCAUAAGCUCUGAGGAGGAAAGCGGGGGACCGUAAGGCCUCGCGCGUUUGGAGCGGCCGAUGGCAGAUUAGGUAGUUGGUGGGGUAAAGGCUUACCAAGCCUACGAUCUGUAGCUGGUCUGAGAGGACGACCAGCCACACUGGGACUCAGACACGGCCCAGACUCCUACGGGAGGCAGCAGUGGGGAAUUUUGGACAAUGGGCGAAAGCCUGAUCCAGCAAUGCCGUGUGCAGGAUGAAGGCCUUCGGGUUGUAAACUGCUUUUGUACGGAACGAAAAGGCGCCUACUAAUACUGGGUGUUGAUGACGGUACCGUAAGAAUAAGCACCGGCUAACUACGUGCCAGCCGCCGCCGUAAAAC
rnacentral:rRNA from 1 species